rnacentral:misc_RNA from 1 species
GAUGAAGAACGUAGCGAAAUGCGAUAAGUAAUGUGAAUUGCAGAAUUCAGUGAAUCAUCGAAUCUUUGAACGCACAUUGCGCCCGCUAGUAUUCUGGCGGGCAUGCCUGUCCGAGCGUCAUUUCAACCCUCAAGCCCCCGGGCUUGGUGUUGGGGAUCGGCGAGCCUCCGCGCCCGCCGUCCCCUAAAUCUAGUGGCGGUCUCGCUGUAGCUUCCUCUGCGUAGUAGCACACCUAGCACUGGGAAACAGCGCGGCCACGCCGUUAAACCCCCAACUUCUGAACGUUUGACCUCGGAUCAGGUAGGAAUACCCGCUGAACUUAAGCAUAUCAAUAAGCGGAGGA